UACGUAGGUGGCGAGCGUUGUCCGGAAUUACUGGGCGUAAAGAGCACGUAGGCGGAUAUUUAAGUCUGGUGUGAAAGACCGGGGCUCAACCCCGGGGUUGCACUAGAAACUGGAUAUCUUGAGGGCAGGAGAGGACAGUAGAAUUCCUGGUGUAGCGGUGAAAUGCGUAGAAAUCAGGAGGAAUACCGGUGGCGAAGGCGACUGUCUGGACUGACCCUGACGCUGAGGUGCGAAAGCGUGGGUAGCAAAC
rnacentral:rRNA from 1 species